rnacentral:lncRNA from 1 species
UUCUUUGUUGGUACCCGCAAGUUCAUCAACACUUUGGGCAAGAAACAAGUGCAUUAAAAUAGUCAUGGGAUCAAUAUAAACAAGUAAACCAAUUUCGGAUUGAACCAUUUCUUUUCCACAAAGUGAUUCAGAAAGUAUGUCACAAAGUAGAUCAGCUACUUGAUAUGUCCUAAGACAUGAAAUUAGUUCCAUAGAUUUAUUUAAAAGAUCUACUAUUUUCUCACACUCUUUAAGGAUUAACAAGUUUAUUAUCACAUCAUUCGAAUCGCUAGAAACAAUUAGAAGUAAUAGUUUACUUACCUGACUUAGAUCCUCGGUGAGUGUGUCUUUCGAAAUCAACUUGGUUUGUUGAUUUGAUGGCUGGUCCGGUGGUUCUUCUUGCAGCAGGAUGUUGUUGGUAAAAAUUUCAUUCUCCUUAGUGACAGAUUUGCAUAUCAAAAGCUCUUGAUAUUGUUGUACAACAUCAUUCGUUGUUUAUCCCUCUUUUGGAUCCACAUGUGUCUCCUUAUUACCUACAUGUGUCUCAAUACUUUUGGCACAAGAAAAGUGUAUUAAGGCAGUCAAGGGACGUUCAUAAACAUAAUGAAAUAAGUUACUUUGAACCUUUUCAUGUGUUAGACCAGAAUCAACUUCUUGUUUGCUUUGAUCCGAGAGUAACCGUAACAUUGUUGUGGCCUCUCUUUGAUCUUCGCAAAUCUUCAUGGUACUUGUACUUUCACUGGCACCCAAAGACAAGAUCAAGUGCAUUAUACUGGAAAUUGAAAUGAUAUGGAUAGGGUUCUUGAAACUCCUUUCGAAUAUAAGAUAAUGCCAAUAUCGAACAAGAUAGUAAGUUUCGCUUACUUGUGUACCAUGUAAGGUGUUCGCUAUCAAUUCAGCCAUGAUGUGGAUGAUCUUAGAAGCAAGAUCAGCUGGUGUUGAGCAGGGAUGUAUCAUCACACGUCCUUUGAGGGCUGCUUGAUCAUAAGUCUUAUUUCGGCAAAGUUGUGAUAAUGUUGUUGUUUCCGAAAGUUGUUCCUCAAAACUUAUGUCAUUCUCAACUUCCUUUAGAGUUGCUUCCUUGUGGUCUACUUCUUUAGAUGUUUCAUCAAUGCUAGGACACAGACCUGCAUCAAUAACCUUUGGCAAAGACAAGUGCAUUAAUCUAGAAUUGGGAAUUUCUAAACUUGAAUUCACUAGACAAUCAUUGGAGUUAGAUGCAUUCAAUUUCAGCUCUAGUGAUGUGACAUCUUCUACUUGUCUUUUAGUGCAUGUUGCAGCAAAAUGUCCCCUCUUAUGACAUCUAUAACAUGUCGGUUCAUUUGAUUUUAAAGAAUUAGAGGACUUAUCUUGCUUUAGCUCAGCGUGUGGCUCAACAUAUGGUUCAGCAUGUGGUUCAAGUACCGGUAUGGGGCUCAGUUCUCCUUUUGCGCCUGUACCUUUCUCAUUCUUGGCGGAAUCUUGAUCCGCGUUAUGAUUAGAACUAACAUGUUGAUGUGUAGUAUUCUUUCGGCUUGGUUCCUUUGGAAGGUUACUGUUUUGAACAGGCUGGGAAAGCAUGUGAGGUGCAUAUCUCUCCCUCAUAAGCAACUUUAGUUGUCCCCACAUUUUGACUGAUGGCUCCUUGUACCACCGUCUAUCUUUUUCUUCUCGGUCCCACCAACGUUUUGCGCUUCCCAUGAGUUGUUCAAGACAAUAGUUGAGCCUCUCUUCUUUGGGAAUAGAAUAGUAUCUAAAGUACUUAUCCAUGUUGAGUUCCCAUUGUAGAUAAUCUCUCUCACGUCCUGCAAACUCAAAAGAUUCAGGUCCAAAAUACUCAUAACCAUUGUCUAGAGAUAACCUGAGUUUUGUUUGGUAGGUUCGGGUGGGAUUGGAUAGUAGUGGGUCUCGACGAGUGCCACGUUUCAGCUCGCCUCCUCUUAGAUUAGUGAUCCCUGAGUCUCUCUCAGCUAGGUAGUCACGUCUACCACAUGGAUAUGGUUUACGCCACAUUGAUGAUCUCUGAGUCACUUCUUGAGUCACUUCCUGUACUACUCGUGUAUUGGUGUGAAAGAACUUGUGUCUCGGUUUUGCUUGACGUGAGGCUGUAGGCCCUCGGUAUAAGAAGGUGUGAUGGUCGAGCUUCUCUUCAUGCCUUGGAAGACGUUGGCAAUUGUAUUCCUUCGCCGUUGCCCCUUUAUACUCCAUGUUAUCUUCCCACUUAAGAUAAUUCUCUUUUCCUGAAAAAGACAUAGCUCGAGUCAAUGGAGAGUUUGAACCAUGGCUGCAAAAAUCAUUAUUAAAUUUAAUACAUGGUUUAGAAUAGCCUGUAUUGGUGUGAGUCAGGCGGUUCUGGUUCUAGUGCUUCACAGCCUGGUUCAUCUCUUGAUUCAGAAUCUGAAUGAUCGUUGUGAUGCCAAGAGAUGCUUCCAUAGUUGUCUUCCACAUCCGACAUGACUUGGUAAGGCUCUUCUCCUUGGAUUUCUUCAUCCGAAUAGAACUCAAUAGACUCCAUAGCUACUCUGGUCUUCGUGAAAGAAGAAUCUAGCACAAGCAAAAGAAAGAUGUAUCAAAAGUAAAUAAACAAAUAAGGAAAAAGAACAAAAUAUGGAAUUUUUUUUUUCUUUUUAUUUUAUAAAAUCAAUGCAAAAAUUCAAAUGAAAUUCGAAAAUCUGAAAUAUAAAAAGGGAAAACGAGCGUUUAAUUUUCUUUUCUGGUUUUAUAACAAUAAAUUUCAAAAUUUAAUUUAAAAAUAAAAAAAAAAUCCAAUUUUUAUUGCUUUUUCUUAAAAAUUCAGAAAUAAAUAAUAAACAGAAGCAAAUAAUUUUUUUUUUAUGAAAGUACUGAAGAAAAUAAACAAUAACAAAGCAAGAAACAAAAUUUUUAUUUGGUUUUCAAAUUUAUAAAAAUUAAAUAAUAAAACUUUAAAAAUUGAAAAAGAUAUAGGUUGAAGAGAUACAACCUUGGGGAUAGGAGCUUUUGAAGCUCUGAUACCAGAUGAUGCAAGAAUUGGAGCUAAUCCAACUUUAGAUCACUUGAUGAUCAAGAGUUCCAAGCUUGCCACGCGGAAGGUGGGAUGAUGAAGGUGGUGAUCUGACACGCUGGCGAUCGAUUCUCUCGUGUGGGAUCGAUUCAAGGGGAAUUAAUGGAUAGAAGGGUGAUUGACUCGCUCAAUCAGUGGGGUAAUCGACUCCUCGAUCAAUGAACGAAUGAAGGAUGUUGAAUAACUCAACAAAUUUAAUCUGCAGAAUCCUUAAGUACUUGGUGACUCACUCACAAAGAACUACAGAACAAUGACAAAGACUCAAACUUUGACAAGUAGAAAACGUUUCUAUUACUUUAAAAUGAUCAAGGGUGUUUUACAAUGAGACUAAUGAUCAGCUUAUAUAGGGCGGAGUACAACGUUCUAAGACUUCAAAGAAAGAAACAAAACAUUAAUGAAAAUAUUGGACAUUAAAUGUAAAAUCGGUCCAAGUAAGGCAAAUGAGGUGUGCCUUGUAUCUUGUCAACUUGGAGAGGAAGUUGUGACGUCUUGGAAGCUUCUGGAGGGUCUCAAGAUUCUCACACAAACGCACAAACAAAGAAGGAAAGAGUUGUUGCAAGUUGAUCUCCUUCGGCUCCAUAUAUGGCAAGUAAUAACUCUGCGGGUUCUUUUGUGGUAAGGUGUACCAAAGUUUGUGUGGUACAUGUCUUGUGUAGCCUAGAUGUUCUCCUGGUUUCCAUGUGUAGCUUGAGAUGCGUCCAAGUGUAGAAUAAGGAAGAUUUCCUUGUUUGGCUUCAUUUGACGCAGUACUUCAGAAAGUAGUUCAGCGAGUAGUUCAGCAAGUAGUGCAGCCGGUCUGUCAGCAAGUACAUCAGCUAUAUGUACUUGUAACAUCUUCGAAUCAAUUGCUUGGUAAAUGAUUCCUUGAUGACUUGAUGUUGCCUCGUUAAAAACCUUUCUAGGUAAACCCAUUGGGACAAACCCUAGAUAAGGGAAAAAGAGUGCAACGGUCAAAUUCCCAUAACAUGGUGAUUCGGCUCGCUGGUCUUUGAUUCCUAUUGAACCAUCAUUAGUCUUCUUAGGGUUAAUUUUCUGGUGAAUAAUUAACCCUAGGCCUUGCGCUUGAUUAUGACUCCAUUUGGGCAAGAAUCCUCCAAAAUGCUCCAUAUCAACCGGUUUGAUACAUGUACCGGUUGGUUUGGUAUACUCCCGGUUUGGUUUGAUUUGGAUGUCCGCAUCACAUAGCAUAUGGAGCUUAUGAGAAUUUGUGUGACGAGUGUUAUUUGUGGUGGUUGGCAAGGAAGGUAUGUCAAAUGCUGUAAACACAUUCUCAAUAAAUUUUCUCGUUGAUGUAUUUUCAUAUUAUGUUAUCAUUAUGCGGAUGUAAUUUGUUGUUAUUGUUUCCUUGUAUAAUUAGAUUGCUGCAUCUACUAGCCAUAAAUUAGAAUAUUUUAUAAUUAAUGUAUUUUAACAUUCGGUAAAAUUUAGAUGUAUAAUAUUAAGUAUUGUAUUAUAAAAUAUCUUUGGGUUUGUAACCAGGGGUGUGUUGAUAUAAUCAAGUUUGGGGAUAUGGUUGGGAUAAUUGUUGGGAGGAGAGGAGAAGUACAAAGUGAAUACUGACUCAUUGAUAUGAUUGGAAUGCAUCUCUACUCAACCACCUAUAUAUUCUCGUUGGACAGAUAAAACGAUAAAUUUAAAAGUUUUGGGGAUAUUAUCACAAUGGACUUUUUAAUUAAUAUAAAAGCUGUUUGGUUUGUUAAAGAUUCUUGUGUUGAAAUGAUUAAGUUGGGGAUUAUGGUUGGGAGUUAUGGUGGGAGGAGAAGAGAAGUUAAAAGUGAGUAUUGGCUCAUUGAUAUGAUUGAAACUUAUGACUAUACAACCCACUUGUAUAUUCAUGUUGGACAGAUAAACAAUUUGACAUGUAUUAAAAAAGUCUAAAAAGAGUUGAUUCUUUCUACACCUGACGGAAAAACGGUAUUUUCAUACCUUAACUCACUAUGUAUGUUCAAUUCAUACCUCAACUAUACAUGCGUGCAAAUACAUACCCAAACUAACUCAAAAUUCAAAUUCACUAUCUCAUCUUUCUAUUUUGUGCCAAAACAGACAUAUCACGAGACGUCGUUAACGAAACGAUAUAACACAGUAAACGGAACGUUAACGACGUCUCGUGAUAUGUCUGUUUUGGCACAGAAUAUAAAGAUGAGAUAGUGAAUUUGAAUUUUGAGUUAGUUUGGGUAUGUAUUUGCACGCAUAUACAGUUGAGGUAUGAAUCGAACAUACAUAGUGAGUUAAGGUAUGAAAAUACCGUUUUUCCUAACCUGACAGUAGAUUUCUUAGAUUUCUUAAAAAUAUAAAAGCAAAGAUAUUAUUUGAUAUCUCACAAUACGAUCUGACAAAAGUAGAUGCUUUUCUUCAUUUUAAUAUAAAACGAUAUGAGUCUUUCUUCGACUAACACUAAUAAUGACUAAGUGUGUAAGAACAAGUUGUUAAGUUGCUUUUAAGAUAGAAAAAUUCCAAAAAAAAAAGAGACAAGGUUGCAUGACAAAAAGAAUAAAACGAAGGAGAUGCGUAAAUCUGGUAGGGGAGUUUGGCAACAACUCAACAAUGACUAAGUCUGUAAGACCAAGUUUAUCUACAAUGUGCAUAAAAUAUCAGAAUAUAACUGGUAUUUGAUCAUUAAAUUGUUGUACGGUACGUUAAUCUUACUAUGAGACAUAAUAAAAUAAUUAAACACUACUUCCCAAAUUUUACAUAAUUAUACAAUCAGACAUAAGGAACUAAUACUAGUUUGUUACAAAAUGUUACAUAGUUAUACAAUAACAUAACUUUGAAUAAUAAUUAUUUUACAUUAAAGCUUAAAGCAAUUCAAGUACUUCUAGAGAAGUUCACAGAUACGUAAUGCUGCAUUGAAGAUGUAAUAUUCUUCGCAAUAAUAUUCGUGACCAUGCCAAUAAGCACAAUCAGGUAUGCCUAUUCUCCUAGAAUCACUACAGGAAAAAGGGGUAUUAAUAGCACUUCAUUAUAGCGGUUUAUGUGUUUCUGCUAUAGUCGACUUAUACAUGAUUUGUUUAUAGCGUUUCUAAAAUAAAAAACGCUAUGGUAUGUUAACGAUAAAAAACUAAUUCGUUCAGUCUUAAUUUUUAGUUCUCGAGUUACUUAGUAAUAGCCCAUACUAUUGUAAAACGACAUCGUAAAUUAACACGAAUAAGAAAAUUUCACUGUCGCCUAAACUAUUAAGAAAAUUUAUCUAAAAUUUCAUUGUCCGCCUAAGUAAUAAAAAAAUUCCCAAAACAUAUAUAACCUAACACCUAAACGAUACAGAGUCUUAUCGCCUUCCUUCGAAUUAACACAUCUCAUUCCAAUAAUCAUCAUCUUCCUCUUCUCUGAGAAACACCACAACACAAAACCUCCCAAAUCCGAUGACCUAGUCGAGCUCUCUCUUCCGAGUACCUUUCAUUCUCUUCCCGACGCAACAAUCCGGCUUCAGUUCUUCGAAUUCCGUUACGAGUCAUGAUGCAAACACUCCUGAAGAUUCUGAAAGCCAUAGAAGACCAUUCGCAUCUUCUGUACUCUAGCUAAUUCCUUAAACCGCCACCCCGACGAAAUCCUCAUCAAUCGCAACAAGAGGGUGGAAUCGAUCAAGUUCCUAGCGUUGUUCGUAAGGAGGCUAAGACCUAUGACUGCUUGCAAGGUAAAAUGUCUAGAUCCGUUUGAUUUUAGGGUUGAUUCUGCUUUCGUUUAAGUGUUAUUGAAUUUUUGGACUCUGAAAUUUGGUUUGUAGGGUUUCAGGUUUGUCAUUUAUCAGGAAGAACUAGAUAUGGUAUGGGAACAUAUUUUCAUCCAAGAUCCGUGAAGAAUACCCAGGUCAAAUGAUGCUUACAUUCUCAGUGUGUUUCCUUCAGCUAAGGUUAAUAAUAGUAGAGUCUCUGAUUUUUCGAUUUAUUGAGUCGUACAAUAUUCAUUAUCAUUAUCUAAUGUGACAUAUCUAUUGUCGCGGGUGAUGACAUAGCGUUUUUAUUAACGCUAUCGUAUCAUUAGAUAGCGUUAAAAAUACUCGUUUUUCUUGUAGUGAAUAAGCAAACUCCCAAAUGGGGCCAAAUGUAUCCUCACCAGGCGGGUCAAAUGACAAUAGUGUGUCAAUUAAAGCUUCACAUUCAUCAUCUAAAUCGGGAGAGUAAUUAUCGAACCAAAGACGACUACCUAAGUUUUCGAAAAUGGUGUCGAAAGUAGCCCCAUCAAUAUCAUCCCUCCCAGCACACAUUUGAAACAUGGCAUAGGACACAGUAGCGUGCUCAUUUGUAGGCACGAGUUGGUUAAGCAAAGCAAGGGAACCGUGGAUAUCACCUUCUCGGGUUAUUAGACUUAGAGAUUCAUAAUAAAUUACCUUAGCAUUCUCUAAUUCCAAACAACGUUUAAAGAAGGUUCUACUAAUCUCUACUUCCAAACAACGUGUAAAGAAGGAUCUACUAACCCCACCUGGAUAUAUGUUGACCAGGUCAACACAUAGAGGAUUUAUGUUUGCUGAUUGAAGAAUAUCUCCAGAUAACGCAAUGUCCCUCCCUCGUUUGUUUGUGAGCAUUAGCGGAGCUAGGUGAUUAGCGUCUUCAUCUCCAAGCUUCUUUACUAUGAUAUGGAAUAUAUCAUCUGGUAAAUCAGAUAAAGACAUUACUUUGAGUUAUGUGAAGCAAGAGAAAGGUUGAAAAACGAGGUGGAUGAGUAGGAAAAGAAAUCGGGAGGAAUCUAGUUAUUUUUUGGUCAUAUUUAUAGAAAACUAAUUUAAAGGGAGACUUCUACCCUUUGACCUAACCCUAAUCGAAAUCCUCAUAAAUUAAAUAAACAAAUAUAUUAGAAACCCAAUCGUAACUAUUUAAAAACAAUAUUUUUUGUGUUUGUAAAAGUACCGUACAGACAAACGGGGUUUGAUAUCUGUACAGUUGAUUUCUGAAUGGAAUAUGUACACUUUAUAUUGAAUUUCAUAUCUGCUGUACAGAAAAUAUCUUGUAUCGAAGAUACCAAUUUGUACAGUCCACAUUUCCCAAGAGGUUGCACAUAUAUAAUGUUGCUCUAUAGAUAUAUGUAUACAGUUAUAAGCGGCUGUACAGAUCUGGCUGUAUAAAUACAAGGUUGCUGUACAGAUACAAAUAAGAAUCAAAACGUGUCAAAUUUUUAAAAAAUAAAACAUGUAAUAAAUAUAUUUGGUCAGAGGAUGCAUUUACUCCCUUUGUUCUGAUCUAGGCGACUUGUACUCCUUCCAUAGUCGGGAAACUAGUCUCCUUAUGCAAGGGCGGUACCGGCAGUUUUUUUAGAGAUGUCUUAAGGCGGAUAACAAGACGGCAAUCUACUAUGAAGGGCUAAGGGUGGUGGCUGAAGGAUGCGACAUCAAGGCGAGUAUUGAUCUUCUAGCUCAGUUGGUAUAGAAAAUAUCUUGUAUUGAAGAUACCAAUCUGUACAGUACACAUUAUCAUCGGUACAGAUAAUCUUCUGUUUUUCUUAUUAACUAUACAUAUAUGCUAUUUGUACAGUUUUCAUGCUGUACAUAAGGGGUUUCGUACAGAGGAUCAACUGGACAGAGACCAAUCUGUACAUCAUAACAUCUGUACAGAUUGUGAUUUGCUAAACUUUCAGAAAUCACAAUUGUUAAAUAUGAUUAAAAAGUUAUAAGUAGCAAAGUAGUAGAUAAACCAAUAAUAUAUAGAACAUUACCUAAUUUAAAUCACAGUACACAAUACACAUAAUAUUCUACCAAUUAAAAUUACAUAUAUAUUAUAUAAAAGUUCAUAAACAAACAACUAGAACUCGUUCUCACAUUCAACAAAAGCAACAUAAGUGUCCAUCGCAUAAACCUUCCUAAUACGAGUGACGACCUCAUCAGUAAGAGCAGACAUCUCAGCGUACUCCAUACCAUGAGCAUGCAUCUCAAGAAACUUGCAUGCUACAGGGCCACAGUCUCCAUCUCCUUUGUUGUUGUACAAUCCAGUUAUACGUGAACAAGUGAAAGACUCAGUCGUGAGGUUGGUAGUUAGAGUAGGGCAGCAAAAUCUCUUCAGAAGCCAAGUAAUGCUAUCCAUGAUUGGGGUCAUUAGAAAGGCCACAACUUCUUUCGGAGUUGAGGACAGAAAGUAGUCUAGAAUUUCAUUGGGACAUCCCCAGUUCAUUUGGACGUAGACAACAUCGACAUGCUUCAGGAAUUCAGAUUUCAUGUGUAUCCCAGUAGAUUUCCUUGUUACAUAUGCCUUGAUUAAUGAACCCCAUUCGAAGUUUUCCUUGUCCUUUCAUUUCAUGAAAUCUUUAUAGUGGGUGGCAACAAGACUUGCAAACCAUGUAUCAAUGAUGGCAACCCUCUUUAGACUGUAUGCUUACGCCCGGCGUCUCACCAGCAUUCCCGUGAUCAGUUGCAUAUGCUGUUCCAUAUAAUAUAACCAAAGUACCCUAAGGAAUAUUAUUAUGCAAGGUGAUGGAGACAUUAAACAUAAAGGGGACUGGAAAACAUUACCUCAGUUGUGACCCAUUUAUCCUUGGUUGGAAUGUCUAAGAAGUGGCCAUUAGUCAGUUUGUGUCCAGUGCAUAUGGUGAAAGAACUGUAAAAAGGAAUUUUAGAUUGUAAUUGAUAAAAGAAAUUACAAUGAUAAGCUGAUGAAAGAAAGAAGGUACAAACCGGUCUGCAUCAUCAUCAAGCAACUCUUUAAACUUCAAAAACUCUCCAUCAUCCAACUGUGGGAGAGGCGUGUAAGCAGGUUCCUUUGUUCGGCUCUUAAACAAAUCACUGAUCCUGGGAUCAACGCUAUACUCAGCAAGGUCGAGGAAGCGGGAGCGUCUAGGAACACGCUUGCGUGGGAGCGGCUGACGAGUUUUUGUUGUCUCAAUAACAAAAUAAGCAGGUGAGGCUGCAACAAUGGAAAUGAGAUUUCUAUAUUUACAGUCAGUUCUUGCAGAAUAUGCACGCGAGUCAGGGAUCACCUAGUACAAAAAUGUGAUUACCAUGGAAAAAACAGUUAUAUAAAUUUUGUAAAUUCAAAAGUGUAUUAGAAAGGGAUCACUUAUUUGAUCCCCACAAUUUAGAUAAAUCAUUACCUGUUCAAAAGGUGUUACCGGAGUAGCAGGAGUUUGUUUAAGAGAACCAGCAACUAUUUUCGCCUCCUUAGUUUCUUUCUGAGGCUCUUCUGCAUUGGAGUCUUCUGCAUUGGAGUUUGGGAUAGGAGAGGCAGGGCUCUCUGCUGGUAUCUUUUGAAAAUUACAAAUGAAACAUAAGAGUGUCAGCAUUGUCUAUAUCCCAGUCACGUAUAACAAUUAAAACAUGACACAGUUUUGAGUAAUCAUUACCUGUGCAGAAGGUGUUAAAGGUGUAGCAGGAGUUUGCUUAGGAGAACCAGCAAAUAAUUCUUCCUCUCCAGUUUCUUUCUCAGGCUCUCCUGCAUUGGUGUCUUCUGCAUUAGAGUUUCGGAUGGGUGAGGCAGGUUUCUCUGCAUGUAUCUUCUAAAAUUUACAAAUCAAACAUAAGAACAUAAGAUUCUCAGUAUUGUCUAUUUACUGGUUACGUAUAACAUAUAAUACAUGACAAAGUAAUACCUGAGAAAUAGAUUUUUAAUUGCAGCCCCAUAAAGAUCCCACGUAUCAUAUGAGGCUUCAAAAUUUACACCAGUUCCACCAUCUUUACCAAUGGGAAUGUCUUUAGGUAAACCAUGUUUCAAACCGGAUGAAGAGCAUCCAGAAGACAAAGAUGUAACCUCUUCUCUUUUACGUUUCCGAGACCCUGGUUUCUCCUUCUUCUUCUUGGCCUUACUUUUUGAUGUCUCCGUCUGAGGAUGAUCUGGCUUACACUGUUGAGACUGACCCCCUAUCAACUUCAAAAUAUCAUCAUUAAUAUUGGAUCGGAGGUCGCGAAGCUGUUGAUAGAUCCAAGCUUUUAAAUCAGACAAGUCAGAUUGGGUAACAAACUGAGAAGAGGAGCUCCCUCCACCUCCCUGCGAAACAUCUUCAUGAUUAGGAAAUUUUUUCCCUGUCUUCUUAGGGGCAGGCUGUGGAACAGUAGUAGCAGCAGCUGAGGUUUGUGGUUUCUCCUUAGCUUUAUGAGAAGCAGUCUUCUUGCGGGAAGGCAGGGGACCAACAAACUCUUCUGUAAUUUUUGCUGAACGCGUGAAGGGCUUUCGAGGGAAAGGGUAGCUCUCAUUUCUCGACCUCUUCGCAGCUUUACUAGGUUCAGAUGUGCCUUGUUCCUCUGCAUCAUCCGAAUGCAGGUCAACAACUUAUGUUCCUUCAGUAUACAAAGGAGCUCCUUCUGUCCCUUGUCCUACCUGUCCUUCCGGUGUCGGAGCUUUCUUGGGUUCAGUUUCUUUUUUCUCUUUGACCACAGUAGGAGAGCAGGGAAUGUCGUUCACAGGCCAUAUCUGAGGCCUGAAGUCGUGCUUUUGGUUGAUCAGAGAGAUAAUCAAAUCGACUCCUGGAUCAACAACUUCAUCAGGCCAAGACAGGUCUUCCUUCAGCAGUUCUGAAUGGUAAAGAGUGUAUUCCACUGACAACUACACAAAAUGCCAGAUAUCUUUGAUGAUGGAAUUACUUAAAAAACAAAUGAGUUAUUCCUCCACACUAAAAAUGAAUCUGGAAUGAGAUUUAAAAUUAAAAAAAACUGACUUACAUUAGGAUUGUAUUCAACCUCAAUAACAUCUAUCUCGCGAAGAAGAAUGGUCAGAGAGAGAUAAACAGAAGGCCUUUGGAUAAAGUUUCUGAAAUCAGCAGGGUCUUCAAUCCUACUACAAAGGGCAGGAAUGGAGUUGAGGACUUGGAGCUGGAGAGCAAGAGGAAACCCGUCACAGCAACUACUUUUUUGUGAAAGUCGGAUCUUCAUCUCUCCAAUAGGAUCUUUCUCAAGCAGUGAAGGACCGAACCGUUCCAUUGUUGCUUCAAAAGCAACCCGCCCCCAUGGGUAACUCAUGAAGAAUACAAUAUCAUGUAGCAUCUCAACAAAAGUCCCACUUACCCGACCAGCUUUUGUGUUGUUGCAAACCACCACCCCAUCUACAAGCACAAUUAAAGCUAGACUCAACUUCUUCCAUGUGGAGAAUCGCUUCUGAGGCUCGGCAUUAUUAUCAUCCCUAAGCAUAUCUAUAACAUCCAUCACUGACACUAUCCUCUUCUCCCCAAAUAGCCGAUUCCAAACAGAUAGAUAUGCAGGGUCUCGGUGAUCUUCUACCUCAGAAUCAGAUGGAAUCUUAUCACAAAUCAGGCCAGUAGUGAUGUGGAAUUCAUGGAGUGAGAAGCGGAGUGGAAACCCUCCAUAUACAGUCCACAAUUCAUCCCUUUUAUGAGUAAGAAGUUGUCUAGCAAGCAUUCCAUGAAUCAACUUUGCAGAAUGAGAACACCUUGCCACAGGUAGUUCAAACACUUUUCUGAAUUAGGAAGCCAGAAGCAAACCCCAUGCCUCAUAACCCUCUAGUAGUUCAACCAGAAUCCCAAGAUAUUCUGGCUUAGAGUAGAUGUUAAGGUGAGCCAGAUCUGGUAACCCAUCAGGAGCCAACAACAAACGGCAAGGGAGGCUAGGGUUUGGAUUGACAUCUUCUCCGGCUGUAUUUUUUGCCGGAGAUUGUGCAGAACCUGAUACAAAUCCUAUUAUUCAUUUCAAAAACUAGCCUAAUCAAAACAAUUGUGAAAGACUGAAUCGAAAUCAGCAAAUGCAGAAAUGAUUUAGGAUUGUAUUACCUCUUUUAUACUCGCUUUUUGUGCCUCGUUUAUACUCUUUUUGGCUUCCUCGUCGAGUGGGUUCUUGAUUCAUAUCGUCGUUUUGCGAUUUUGCAGGAGAUUUGCAUGGAGAAUUAACUGUUCUAGAUACAGAUGUGGCUUCAGAAACGGGUACUUUCAAAACUUAAUCAAUUUUGAAAGAUCUAAAAAUCUCAAAUUUUUAGAUAUAUGUUGCAAACUAGUACGUUUACUCGAUUUCAUUACCUCUUUUUGUGUCAGUUUUCUUGCCUCGCCGAGAGGGUUCUUGUUUGAUACCGAGUGGAAGGGUUUGUUUCUUCGAUUUUAUUGAUUUCUUCUUCGUCAUUUCAGAGAGUUUUGGUCAUAAUAGAGAUUAUCUAAGAGAUAAAGAUGAGAGAACAGAGAAAAUUCGAGACCUCGACAGUUCCGGAGAAAGACGAAACGGUAAUAAAAAAAGGAAAAAGUAAAUGUUGUACUCCAACUUGUCUAAAAAAAAGGGAAAAAUAUCUGUAGUACUUUGAGUGGCAUGAAACCGUAAAUAACUCUGUUUAUGAGUGGUAAAAAGGGUCUCUCAAAAAACUCAAUAGUUCCAACCUGGGGAAAAAACGAAUUGUAAAUAGUGACCGUAUUACUUUUACAAUUAUGUUUCAGAAACGUACUAGUUUCCAAACAAACCCAAAAAAACACGACCGUAAAAAAAUAACCGUACAAUUUUUAAACGAAAAGUUACGAUAAAAAAACGCAACCGUUCAGAGGUGCAAAAUGCAUUUAAUGAGAUUGCUAUUAUAUAUAGAUUAGUCAAUGAUAUUGUUAUUUUAGGCGUUUAUCUACCAUAAUAUUAUGAUGACUUUCUAAAAUUUUGUAUGCAUAAUUAUGUAUAAACAUCAUCGAAGCGAAACAGAAAAAAAAAAAAGGUAUAUCAAUAAGACGAUAAGUUAUUUACAAAUAAAUAAAAUAAAAAUUGUAUAAAAAUCAAGGCACGAGUCUUAAUCUUCGUAGGUGUUGAAUCAAAGUCAAGUUCGCCAUUGAAGAAGUCAUAUAUUGUCAUCAAAGCAGUAAACAAACGUGAAAUGAGGAUAAACAAUUGAUGAAAUCAUGGAGAAGGCACACAUAAUACAGCAUGGCUAAGUGAAUAUUAUAUUAUUCAAACGUAGUUGAUCGUACUGAUUUUGAGUAUAAUAACAUCGAAUAUAGAUUCAAUUAUUGUGAUGCGUUGCGUAUUGCUUUACUUUACAUAAAUUAAAUUAACAAGGUUCUUGUCAGUUCUAGUCGGUGGCCAUAACUUGAAUGUACAACAACCUAAGAUUUAAUACAGUUACAAAAAUAAGUGUACUUUGUAGUGAACCACUCACAAAUUAGUUUUUUAAAAAAAUUUUCUUGUGUGCGAAAUGCCACACCCAAAUUAGUAAGAAAAGAUUUGUAGUAUAUUUUGACUGAAACAUUAGAGUAAGUAAUUUCAGUAUAAAAGUUUUUUAAAUACAGGUCAAUUCAUUUUAAACAUCUCAAAUAAAUUUAUUAUAAACAUCCGUUAAUAGAUUUUUUAAUUCAUCAUUCAUUAAAUCUAUAUUUUAUGUAUUAGCUUGUUAAAUAUGUGUGUAUUUUCUAUAAACGUUAGAUAUUUAACGUUUUGUUUUUUCUUAAACAACCUGAAUAUCAUAUGCAUCUAAUGGGUCUGAUUGGUAUCAAAAACUGUACAAGUUUUUUAGCUGUUAGCUGGAGCUGUAAGCUUUACCGGAAUAGUGCAAAACUGUAAAAAAGAGCUGUACAAAAACGUUGUACAAAAAAAGCUGAUAGUAAAACUGUUAGUAACGCUUUUGAUAAAGUUUUUGUGAUUGGUAACUGUCAAAGUUGUACACCCUAUCCCGCUUUGAUAAUGGGUUACCAUUCAAAACCAAUAUCAAUUUAAAAUCUGAAAAUUUUAUGAAGUCUAAAUUGUCAUCCGUCAUGUUUUUUUUUAUAUAUAUCAGAUGCAUUUAGUUUUAUAAAAUUUACAUCAAAUUUUUAAUUUUUAUCGUUUUAAGCAAUUUAAUAGGUAAUAGAUUUAUUGAUCAUUUAUAUUUUAAUCGAUUAUACAGAUCUUCUUUUUUGUCUAAAAAAACUACGCGUACAUUUAACAGCGAUCGUUUAAAAUUUUAAAGGUACAAUAUCCAAGAAAUUUGUAUUAUUGAGACGAAUGUUUAAGACGAAAAAUAUAUGUCACAAAUUUGUGACAUUUAGACAUAAUGCUUUUUUUGUUAACGAAUAUGGUAUUAGAGAAUUUUCUUUUAUUUGCCAUCUUUACUUGAAAUGUAAUAUGAUUUAUCAAUACUUUCAGAGAUUUUUCAAUAAAAUUCAUAUAUUUGAUACUGAUACCUAUGUGUAUGCUACUAAAAUUUUGGGGAUUGAUUUCAAAGUGGCUUUUGAGUUUAUUUUUUAAAACAGUUAUAUACAAACCUAAUUUUAGAUUUAAAAAACAAAUAAGGAAGUAGAAUUUCAAAAUUCAUAUUAACAUCACAAGACUACUAAAAAGAGUGAUAAGAAAAAGAAAAAAUAAAGGAAUGCUAAUAAAGACAACAAGAGGAUAACAAAAAGAAACUUCAAUAUUCCUAUUAAUAAUUACAAGCACAAUUUCAAAAUAAACAAUUAAAACUUGUGGAAGCCAUCUUGGUCCAUUGGUUGACCAAGGAUUUAUUAAUGCUUCUACACCAAGAGGUCUGGGGUUCGAGUCCCAGGUAUUGCGAUUUAUUAAUAAAUUUGUAGAUUAAUGGAGGCAAGUGUGCAAGAGAUUUCCAGCGAUGUACAAUUAUAGCCGUUCGCCAGGAUUCUACGCAGAGAAGAAAGUAUCGCCAGGUCGUGGAUCAUUGAAGGUAUUCAUCAAAAUUACAAAGAAAGGAAGUGUAGUAUGUCGUGGAUCUAGUAAGGGUCAGAAGGAAUUGUCAGUUGUAGAAUCGUCUAUGUAACAGUUCUCAUAAUUUGCAAUUAAUAAUAAAUCUAGACGACAAAAAAAAACAAUUAAAACUUAUACCUAACGAAGAAUUAAUACUUUAUUCUUGAAGUUUGAACGAAAGUAAAUAAACUUUAUUUACUCAAAGAGAAAAAUAAAAAUUCUCUGUUCCUUCUCCCAAAUCAAACAAGUGACUUUUUAUACUUAUCUUAAUUCUGUAGUCUCGAGAUUCGCUUUUUCUCCUGCUAACUUCUUUUUAUCAUCUUCCUUUGUCGGUUUGAUUUGGAAAAACUUUCUGCAACUAAAAAAAAAAAAAGAAGAUAGAUUCUUAAACUUUUUAUCUCAAGAUCCUUUCAAAAAAACUAAAAAGAGAAGAUUUUAAUUAAUAACAAUGGUUGAAACUGGUCACCAUCAACAUCCACCGGCACCGGCUGCAGCCGGUCAUCCGCCGGUUCCAUCCAUGGCGAUGGCCGUUAACAGAGGACCCACUUGGCCACCGGCGGAGCAACUUCAUCAUCUUCAAUAUUGCAUCCACUCUAAUCCUUCUUGGCGUUAGUCUCUCUUUGCUUCCACUACUUUCUUGAUUUCUUUAAUUUUGAUUCAGAUGUAAAAAAUAAUUUUUUUAAAAGUCAAAAGUUACAUGAGUUCACUUCUGUCUCUCUCCUUAUAUGCUUUAUGUUGUGUCUUAAUUUGUUUCCCAAAAGAAUAUUUUAGAUCUCAGAAUCUGAUUCGAUUCUUUAUAUUUCCUCUGUUUUUGACUUCUAUUUUAGCUUAUGUUUGAUCUAAUUAGAUUUACAAAUAUUUAUAGAUGUUGUAUAAUUGUUCUUGAGACAUACUAACUGAUUAAGAUUAAAAUAAUAUGGUUAUCACUAGUUUAUGGAGUUGGUGAAUCCAAAUUGCUAUAAAAGUUGAAUCAUUAGCAGUUAUAAGUGUGGGGUUGGGUUUAUGCCAACACUGGUCAUGGAAAAUGAAAUGCAAUUAGUGUGUUACCAUUACAAGAAAUGUCAUUUUAAGGGAUUUUGUAACAUGGUGGAGAUUGUAUUAUUCUUUCCAUUUUAAGAACUGAUUUGUUUCAUUUUCAUUAACAAUGAAUCUUUCGGAUUACGUUACAGAUGAGACGGUUGUACUGGCUUUCCAGCAUUACAUCGUUAUGCUCGGGACUACUGUUUUGAUUGCCAACACACUAGUGCCACCAAUGGGUGGAGAUGCUGUAUGUUUUGUUUUUUGGUUUUUGGAUCCGGUUGUCGAAUAUUUAUUUUAUUAUAUGAUUCUGAAAUCGACCGUUUGGUAUUUUGAACGAUAACAGGGUGAUAAAGCGCGGGUUAUCCAGACUAUAUUGUUUAUGUCGGGAAUUAACACGUUGCUACAAACGCUUAUAGGGACAAGGCUUCCAACGGUUAUGGGAGUUUCGUUCGCGUAUGUUCUUCCUGUAUUGUCUAUAAUCAGAGACUACAAUGAUGGUCAAUUUGAUUCCGAGAAACAGGUUAAAGCUCAUUUAAUACGUGCGCGCUACGUUUUCUUGUUUUUAACUAGACAAAUGCCAUUUUCCUUAUAGAGAUUCCGACAUACUAUGAGAACCGUUCAAGGAUCACUAAUCAUUUCUUCAUUCGUCAACAUCAUAAUCGGAUAUGGUCAGGCAUGGGGGAACUUAAUAAGGUAAUAUAUAAAAAAAAUUCAAUAUAAUUUUGCUGGUUUAGAAGCUAAUGAAAGUUCUAACAUUUAAUGAACUUGGUUUCUUUAAUGCAGAAUCUUUACUCCCAUCAUUGUUGUACCAGUUGUUUCCGUUGUGAGCCUUGGCCUGUCCUAGAGGCUUCCCAUUGGUAACAAUUUCAUAUAAAAUUUCAGCUUUAGCAACUUUGAACGACUUUCCUAAGUCAUUAUGUGAUCUUUUGGGCUUUUUACAGCUUGCAAACUGUGUUGGAAAUCGGUCUACCAAUGCUGAUUUUGUUGAUCAUCUCACAGCAAGUUCGGCUACUUUUUUUGUUUUCGUACUAUAUACGUUAGUGAUUGUUUAGAUGUAUAAUAUUGAAUCUUGCUGUCCAUCUUGCAGUAUCUUAAAAGUGUCUUCUCAAGGAUUUCUGCGAUACUUGAAAGAUAUGCUUUACUUGUUUGCCUGGCUAUCAUAUGGGCUUUUGCUGCUAUCCUUACUGUUUCUGGUGCGUAUAACAAUGUUUCUACUGCGACAAAACAAAGUUGUCGCACGGAUCGUGCCUUUCUUAUGUCAACAGCUCCCUGGUAGGUUGAUUAAUGACUGUUUUUUCUUGAUUUUUCUUUUCUUCUGAGGCUAAAUAUCUGUAUAGUCAGUGACUCAAACUCAUUUUGCAGGAUUAGAAUCCCAUAUCCUUUCCAGUGGGGGACUCCGAUAUUUAAAGCUAGUCAUGUUUUUGGAAUGUUUGGUGCUGCGAUUGUCGCAUCUGCAGAGGUACAAAUUUAUGACCUGUAAUUAAUAUACAUCAGUAUUAGUUUCUAGCUACAGAUUGUUCUUAUAUUAUGCACAUCCCAUUUUUCUAGUCUACCGGUGUAUUUUUCGCUGCAUCUAGACUAGCAGGAGCAACAGCGCCUCCAGCACACGUUGUUUCUCGUAGUAUCGGGCUACAGGUUUUAUUCCCAGACAUUAAGAUAGUCUUUUUAUCUUUUCAUUUUCUGUCGCUCUUCUAAUGUUCUGAAUACGGCUAUAAGUUGUUAUAUUUUCCUUAUAGGGUAUUGGUGUGCUCCUUGAAGGAAUAUUUGGUUCCAUUAGUGGCAAUACCGCUUCGGUGUAAGUUCUAAGUACCUCUCUUCGCUACAUGUUCUACUAUCCUUUCAGAAUAUCUACAAAGGAAGUAUUUCUCAUCUUGAUGAUAUAUAUACAGGGAAAAUGUCGGUCUCCUUGGCCUCACACGAAUAGGGAGUAGACGAGUGGUGCAGAUUUCAACGGGUUUCAUGAUAUUUUUCUCCAUAUUUGGUUAGUCUUUCAACCCCCAAUCAGUCAUCUUGACUAAGUUCAGUUUAUAGAAAGUAGCCGUUCUUGGCUUUAAAUCCUCGUGUUUUCAACAAUUUUCAGGAAAAUUCGGCGCCUUCUUUGCGUCUAUCCCGCUUCCAAUCUUCGCAGGCAUAUACUGUAUACUACUUGGAAUUGUUGGUGAGUAGCAUUUUCUCUAUGAAUCUACACUUCUUGAUUUCUCGCAAAAGUCGGGGAUGCUUAAUUCUGAUACUAUUGUUAUGUGAUUGGCGCAGUUGCUGUUGGAAUAUCGUUUAUACAGUUUACUGACACCAAUUCAAUGAGAAACAUGUACGUCAUCGGUGUCUCUCUCUUUUUAAGUCUUUCCAUCGCUCAGUACUUUCUUGCCAACACUUCAAGAGCAGGAUAUGGACCGGUUAGAACAGCAGGUGGAUGGGUAAGCAUUUCAAAAAAUCAUUGUUUUAAACACCAAUUAACUGUAGUAUAUAAUGUUUAUUUUUCUUAAUAUGAUGUCGUGGUGACUUGUGGUGCAGUUCAACGAUAUACUUAACACGAUAUUUGCUUCGGCUCCUUUGGUGGCAACCAUUCUUGCGACCAUACUAGAUAACACGUUGGAAGCAAGACAUGCAAGUGAGGCAAGAGGAAUCUCAUGGUGGAAGCCCUUCCAGCACAGGAACGGAGACACCAGGAACGAUGAGUUCUAUAGUAUGCCCCUUAGAAUCAACGAGUUAAUACCGACGCGGUUCCUUUGAAACCCCUGAACGUUUCUUCUGUGUUUGGAAAUGUAAGAUAUGUGCAUAUCUUGUAGCUUCAUUGGGGAAAGAUUGAGUCCAAUGGAUACAAAAUGAACAUAGGCCUUUGAUGGAGAAAGCUAUUUUACAAACUAUAACUUGUGUUACUAGAUUUUACUUUACCUUUCCUAUCAUUAACUUUACCUUUUGGACAAGUGUUCAUACUUCAUAUACAAACUUACAUUAUUCUUUUUCCAUUCAUUAUCUUAAGUCUCGCGUGUUAGAUUCAAUCACUGUGGUUAUAUUAUGGAUAGCCUUUUUUCUUGUAUCCAAGAAAAACAAGUAUAUAUUUGAAGAAUGCUUACUGAAUUAGGUAAUCAUGUCUUAUUAGACAACCACACUAUUUAUUAUUACUGUUAUUACUAGAUAAAAACCUACGCUACGGCGGUAGUUAACUCUCUAGGCGGUAGUCGGGCGGCGGAUCACUGUAUAGCGCCUAACUGUAUAUGCGGCUGUGUAUGUUGGUAUAUAUGGUAAAUAUAUUUUUACAAUUAUAUAUAUAUAUAUAUAUAUAAAUGAUUGCAGGAUCCCAAACAUUGCAGGAGCCUCAAUCGGAUUUAAACUAACGGAGCGUCAAUCGGAAUUGAACUCAAGCAUUUAUGAUCGUUGCUUUCGGAUCAAGUAAUAGCUGAAACUGAUCAAAUCUGAAAACCUAAAAAGCAGUUCUGAGUGGGCUUCUUCAAGGCGACGUUUGGAGGUUUAAAAGUAAUCAGAUCGAGUUGAAACUUUGUGGAGGUUUUAAUGGUACUGCAAGCUAAGAAUUCAACAGUGGGAUUACAUUUGCAACUGUUAGCUCCUUGUUUAUUAGUGUGUUUCCGAGACUUUUUGCGUAGAAUAAAUUGUGAGUUUGGAUUGUUGUUUGGGUAAACGAGCUUGGCUUGAGCCCAAACAUUGCAGGAGCCUUUAAGACUCUUAUAAUUAUGUUUUGGUUGAUAGAGAGCCAAGGUGAAGUUCAAUAGUAUGUGGUUGAGGCAAGGUAGUAAUUUGUUUAAAGGAGAAAGGAGAAGAGACUAGUUCUUCAUCUUCAAUUAGGCUAAAGUGACAGUAGUAUUUGUGGAUCCGCAUUAACCCCUUUCCUUAUAUACUCUUCGACAGUUGCUGAGUAUAGGCUCGAGAAUUGUCUUUGUUGAUUUAUGUGAAUUUUUGUGUAUGAUAAAGCUAAGUUGUUAAUAAUAUGAUAUGUGAAAUACAUUAGUGACAUGAUUUGAUAUCAUGUUUUACGUAUAUUAAAUUAUAAAAUGAUUAUGUCUAUGUAUGAGAAGAGAAAACUAAAGAGUAUGAGAAGGAUACUUGAGGAUGUUGGAGUGUAGUGGACCGACGAGUUCAUUGCAGGUCAUUAACCGCUGACGAGCAGGGGAAGAAUCGAGCUUCGGGCCGUGGUCUUCCAUAAGUAGGUUUGAGUAGCCAUAAGUUAUAAAAAGCUUGAAUAUCCAUAAGUUAAAAUACUUGAAACUAAAAAUGUAAGUAAAAUAUCUUGUUGUGAGCAAGGCGAAUGCUUGUUUGUUUGAUUGAUACCAGUAUUCUAAAAUACGCUAAGCGGUAGUCGGGCGGCGGAUCACCGUAUAGCGCCUAACUGUAUAUGCAGCUGUAUAUGCUGGGUAUAUACGGUAAAUAUAUUUUUAUAAUUGUAUAUAUAUAAUAUAUAAAUAUAUUGCAAGUAUAUAUAAUAUCAUUAAAAAAAAAUUGUUUGAGUGAAAAGCUCUAAACAAACAAUUGUCAAAAGAAACUAAAAUUCUACAUGACACUAAAAUAUAAAAUAAAAGAAGUAUCACAUUAAACUCUAACUCUCAAGAAAAUAAAAACAUAAUGACAAUUGUAUUUGUAUAAGCGGCACCGUAUACACGGCUGUAUUGAGCCAUAUAAUGUCGUAUAGCUACCGUAUAUACGGCCACCUAGGGCGUAUUUUAGAACACUGAUUGAUAGACAUUUUGAAUCUGUGCUAAGUAAUGGUUGUUGACUAUGUUUGGAACGUGUUUAUUGUAUGUCCAGUUGGCAAAGUUGAUCUCUUCACUGAGUAAACCUGUUUUACUUACUCUUUUUCCUCUUUUUCUCCAGCUUAGUAAAUUUCAAGAAGUUUUAAGUUUGUUUGUUGGUAAAAUUUUAAGAAAGAAACGUUUUGGUAAGACCAGAUAAAUAAAAUUCAGUUAUGUCCUUUACAGCCGGACGGAUAUUAUAUUUUGCCUCCCUAACGGUGUUGUGGAACUCUCAUGUUGUAGUUUCACUCAUCUUCGCUAAGGAAAGUACUUCAGCCGACUGCUUAGCUUUGACAGCCCUUGUGGCUCUUUCCAUUUCCUCCUCUCUUGGAGUGUAAAACAUUGUUACUUUUAAUCAAGUUCAUUUUGCCCAGAAAAAAACGAAGGUAUCCAACCAAUAAAAUUUCUAGAGUGGAGUCACGCGCCACAAGAGAGAGUAGGGAAAGAAGCUAACACAACUAAGCUUAGUGGAUGCCACUUAACACAAAUGACAACGUUGUUUUCCAAUUUCCAUGUUUACGCUAUAGCUUCAGACAGUACCUGAAAAAGUGAGUUCGCCCAAAGACCAAAAUUAAACAAAAAUAACCAAAACUUACUCUCAUUUCUUUAUUAAAUUAAGGUAAAAUAUCAAUAUCCUUAAUUACUAAGAUUUUUUUUUGAAAUAGUGUUGUCGUUCUCGGUCCAAAUUUCAAAUUUUGACCUGAAGUCUCUUGUUUUUCUGAUAGAUUCUCCAGCUCUUGUCCUUUUUAACAGACCCUUAGGCCUCUCUCCUGCAGGUUAAUGCACUGUCUUCACCAUUUUCAUUUAUUUUCCCCUUAAAAAUAAAAUAAAUAUUAAAUAUUUUCUCAAAAUUCACCAUUUAAGAAGGCAAAUUUGAGAUCUUUCUUCUUCACAUUAACUUGAGUGUCUCUCCUUCUUCUAUUAACAAUGGCGUCAAUGCCAUUGUACUGGCAACCACCACCAGCUACGGAGGUUCCACAAGACUCAUCCUCCGUCUCCUCCGCCGGAAACUCCACCAUUGGUCCUUUUAUCGCCGUUUUUAUCGUCGUCACCGUUCUCUGUGUUCUUGCAAGUGUUAUUGGACGGCUUUGCUCCGGCAAAACCAUCUUAGGGUAUGGAGAUUACGAUAUGGAGAGAUGGGCUGAGAGUAGAUGCGGUUCUUGUAUCGACGGCCACAUCAUUCCUCACCGGCCGUCUCCGUCGCCUCCGCCUCGUCAGCCUUUGCACCACACUUCUUCCGGCGUCUCUGCUGAAUCUGAGGGACACGUGGCAGAUCUAGAUGAGACUGAUGGAGAGAAACAAGACUCUUUAGACCAUGAGCCUCCACCACAAACACCAUCAUCAGCUCAUUCUUGAUUAGUUUUUCUCUUUUGAUUCUUUUUUUUUUUUGUGUUGGUUAAAAGUUAGCCAAUGUAAUUGAAAAUUUCACGAGUUCGAUCCCAAAGCGGUCAAAGUUAUUGAAAAUGGCGCUCUAGAUUUUGUUUUUUUUUUCUUUAUGCACUUUUUAUCUUUUAGUAUUUGUGUUUUAUACCGAAGAUAAAAGAAAAUUCAGAGGAUAAAAGUAAUGAAGGGACGUAUAUAAAGAGAAUAAUACACGGCUUGCUUAAAGUGCUUUUUUUCCUUAUUGAUUCUGAUUACGUUUGAUGCACCCAAAUAACAGGAUAGAGCAAUGGGUACAAAUAAUAAAUCAAGGAAAUAUUUAAUAAGUACUAUUGUUUAAGUUGGAUUUGUAGCCGUUAAAUCAUUACUUCCAUUUUCUUAUUUGAUUCUCGAGAAAAUUAGCACUAAUACCACAUUUUCUUCAAAUUCUUUCAAAUCUACCACUUCUCCCUUCUCUUUUUCAAAUCUACCAUAUUGCUAAACAAAAUAACCAAUUUACCCUCAAAUCUAUUUUUCUUACUUUAUAUUAUUAUAUUAUUCCUUUAUUUUUUUUAUUUUUUUUCUAUAUUUCUUCUUCUCUCUCUAAAUAUAUUACAUCUAUCUUUCUUCUUUUCCCUUGAAUCAUACAAUUAAAAUAAUUCCCCAAAAGGCAAAUAAACGAUCUGAACUUGUCUCCGAUCUACUAUUACUCAUUCGAUUGGAACUUGUCCCCGAUCCAAUUUUACUACUCAUUCAAUCUGAAUUUGUCCUCGAUAUAAUUCUAUUAUUCAUUCGAUUGGAACUUAUCCCCGAUCUAAUUUUACUACUCAUCAUUCAAUCUAAAUUUAUCCCCGAUAAAGUGGUAUUAUUGAUAGUUUUCCCUAAUAAUGAUAAGUAAUACCUUUAUCGAGGACAAGUUCAGAUAGAAUGAGUAAUAGAAUUACAUCGAGAACAAGUUAUGUUCUCUUUAUAUAAUCCUUUUUAAAUUCAACACUAUGUUAAAUUCGGGGACACCUAGAUAUGAUGGUUGUCGUUUUAUUCGCAAGAGAUCUGAACUUAUUCUUGGGGGACAUCAUUCACUUUAAUUCAUAAUUAUUGUCCAUGGUAAAUGUAAACUGCAUUUAAUGCAAUGUUUUGUCCUUCUUCUCUGACACAAAGCUGUCAUUCUGACACAAAGGUGUCCAGCGUCUAUUGUAGCUCCUUCUUCUGACACAUUCCUGACGCAGGCAGAAGGGUAAAAUCGUCCAAGCUCUACCACACUACCACACACAAGUGGUACAGCUGCUAAAUUGAUUUCUAUUGUGGUACAUUUGCUAGGGAUUUUGAAAAUUGUGGUAGAUUUGCCAAAAAUCCCUUGAUUCUUUUAGUUUUUUUCUUUUUUUUUUUUAUGAGAUUUUUGCUCCAUCUUCUUCUAGGCCAAUAUUCCUUGCAAUUUUGAUGUGUUAGAAUCGAACAUACCUCAUGUCCUUUUUGAAUAUCCGCCUGCACGCCAGACAUGGGCUUUAUCACAGAUUCCAACGGCCUCUGAAGUUUUUCCUUCAGGUUCACUAUAUGCAAACAUGGAUUACUUAUUUUGCCGGAUAUCAUCGAAUGUUUAUCAUAGAAAUGAUAAAGUGUAUAAUAACGUGGAUCAAAGUCCCCCUGAAAUUUUACGGUUAGCAGAGAAUGAAGAGCAAGCUUGGCAGUUAGCUCAGGGGGAAAUAACGGAUGACGUUUUAGACUCGGUCGGGGGGACUACCUAUUCACACUCCAUAAAUGACGUUCCAGUGCAAUCCGGGAAUGGGUUUCGGUGUUUUGUAGAUGGGUCAUGGAAAGAGAGUGAUCGAUUUUCCGGGUUAUGAUGGUUUUGUUCUAGCCCGAAUGAUGGAACGCAAGAUAUGGGAGCUGCUAAUCUUCGAAGAAGCUUAACCUCACUUCACAUAGAGGUCGAAGCAUUAAUUUGGGCGAUGAGAUGUAUGAUCGACCAAGACAAGAGAGAAGUAGCUUUCCUUACAGACUGCUCCGACCUGGUGAAGAUGGUGUCUUCCCCGCAAGAUUGGCCAGCGUUCGCAACCUACCUAGAGGCGAUUCAGAGUGACAAGGAAGAGUUCGACGUAUUCUCAUUAUCUUUAGUUUCUCAAAAUGGGAAUGGAAAGCGGAUAAACUGGCUCGAACUGUACGUACCCAACCGCAUCUUAUCACCUAUGUAAACAAUUUCCUCAACAUUGACUUAUUUGAGCCAAUCUAAUAUAGCGGUUGACAAAAAAAAAAUCGAACAUACCAAGAUUGUUACACAUUUUCUAUAUUACAAAUACAGGUUUUGUAAAAAUGUCAACCAAUUGUGAGGUCUUUAAUAAAGUGAUAAUUAACUUCUAUAUGGUAGUUUUUUCCAGUGAACAUCAGGUUAGAAGCAAUAUAAAUUGCAGUUUGAUUAUUACUGUUUACAAAGUGAUCUAUAAGCCAUGAUUAAAUUGGUUAAGAUCUUCAAAAGAGACAAAUGUAGAUAUUGAAGCACAUCAUUUCUUCUUACUUUUCUAAUACAUUCUCUAUAGAAGCAAAACAAAAUUAAAUGUUUCUCUUAAUGCUAGAAUUGAUUUUUCUAAUUAAAAUCUAGAGCAUGAACAUUUUGUGUCCAGAGGUGUUCAAUAAAAUAUCAAAGUUUUCAUACCUAACCAAUAAGAAUAGAUUUGGGUGAUUUGAAUUUCAUGUUUUUUUAUUGCCUAAUUGCAAAUGGAAGUUUGAUCUAAUUAGGUUGUCAAUAGAAGGAAUAUGAUUAUGGAAAUGAGUUAAUUUAUUCAUGUUUUGGAGUUGACUAAGAUCAAGUCUAGAGGAAUGGCACAAGUGCAUACACCAAAAGAGAAGAGUGGAAGAACGAUGGAUGACCUCGACUGAUCUGGCUGAAGUGAAUGGAUGCAUGCCCACCACCAUCAGUGGAUAAAUCAAACUUUGAGAUCAAGCCGCUGUUCAUUACCAUCUUGCCACACAUGUCAUUCCGCUAAGGCCUUAUGGAAGAUCAGAACAUAUAUCUUCAAGGGUUGAUAUCUAAAACACAUUCCACAUUAAAAAGGUAUGGGUAUAGUUUCAUCGGGUCAAGUAGGUUUAAGGUCAAUGAACCGGGUCGUCGCUAGAGUUAGGCCAAAGCUGGGCCAAAAAUGAAAUCAAGACAUGGGCUUAAGCCCAUAAGGUGUUAUGUGGUUUUCUAUUACAAAAGAAAAAAUAAAAUUCAAAUCAAUUUCUAAGUUGGAAUAGUUGGUCUUACAAAUUCUAUAUAAGCAAAGGAUUCACAAAUUGAUCAUCACAACAUAAAUAAGCAAUAGAGAGACAAAGUUAGAGAGAGAUAUAGAGAGAAUUUUUGGGUUUAGAGAAUUCUUGAUACGUUUUGUUUUUAAAGAGCUUCACGUUAGGUAGGUUUCUUGUUUGGUUGUUCUUGCGUUGAAGCAAGAGUGAAUAAGUUCCAAGUUUGCUUGAUUCUUCUAGAGGUACCUAUUGGAUAGAAACAAAGUGAGCGUGAGAUAGAGAGAUAAAGAGAAUUGUAUUGAAACUUAUUUUUGGAUUUUUAGUGGCUGUUUGCAAGAGUUGGUCCUCGCACGAGACGUACUCUCCAGUUCAGAGAGAAACUCGUUGAUUCUUGGUGUUGAUAGUUCUUGUUUCCGCAUUCAAACCUAAACUACUAACUAAGGCUAAUUAGUUUAAUUCUUCGCAAAAGGUGAUCAAACCAAUUUUUUUCUACAAAAUCAUGAACCAUUAUCAGCCAUGAUAUGGCACACGUAAAGUAUACAUUCAAGAACAAAUCCACAAAUACAUCCCACCAAAAAAGAUUACGACACAUAGGAACAAGAUUUUAAUACUCAAGAAACAUUUGUUUUGGAUAAAGUAGAUAUUGACUCCUAUUUAAAAUAAUUCUUCUCACCAUCUGCAUACUGUUUCUAUUUCUAUUUAGGAUUUUACUUACCCUAAACUAAAUCAUUGUCGCUUCACCGGAGUUUCGAAGGAAAGAAGAUUUAAACACCACCAUCUAUUUGUUCUGAUUCAAGAUAAUUCAUCUCUCUCCUAUAUCGUAUUUGAUUGGGGUUUAUAGCCUCAGCAAAGGCGGCCAAUAAAACAUCUAUGGUUCCUUCUACAGAUAUAACAGUCUAUAGCUAGUGUCAAAUUAACUCAUGGCAAGUCUUUAGCCUCCAACCAUAUCCUCGGUAAUUUUUUUUAAUUAAAAUAAUAUACAUUAUAAUAUUUGCUUGAACAAAGGUCAGUCUGAUAUCAAAGUAAAUCUUAUGUUUGAUUUUCUGAAGGUUAUGAUCAAGAAAAAUUUCAACACAUUGAUAGUUGUCAUAAACCAGAAUUCAUCAAACAUGGAGGUGUAGAAUUUUUGUUCUUUUACACUGUUUUGGGUCAUUCAGAUCUUGAGUUAGGCUACAUUUCAUAAAUAUUUUCUUAUCUCACACACAUUCUUUAUUAUUUCAUUAUACGUAAUGUCAAAAUCAUUUGAUUGGAAAACGUUUGUUAUUGUAAAUUGCAGACAGAAGAAUCUUUUUGCGUUAUCGAAGAGAGGUGACCAUCAACACCAACUUCUCAAUAUUUUUUAGUAAAGAAAUCAUAUAUACGAAAGUUGGUCAACUCUCUCCAUAUUAGUGACAAAUCAUCACACAAAAAAUGACAUGUGUCAUUCAACAUUAUUUAAAUUAAAAAAUCAGCAAAAUUAAUUAAGGGAAAAUCAAAAGUCUUCUAUUGUGUUAAAUCUUCCAUUAAUCUCAUUCUUACAUGAUUUCUUCAAAAUAAAAAUAAAAUUAUAAGCUUAUUUUCAUAAAUCAAACACUACUUUCAUUUUACUUUUCUUAUUUUUUUUUAAUUUUUUAAUUUAGUGGUCAAUGGUUAUCAUUUGAUAAUAACUAAAUAAUUAUUUUUGUUGUAGUUUAGUUGUUUGCUACUUAAUAUUUUAUUAGUUUAGUAAUUUUACCUUGAAUAUUUUCUCAUUAUUACGUUAUGGUUCAUAUCUUAUUAUAUGACAUUCUCUCUUUUCAUUUUUUUGUCUUAUGGUAAGUUCGUAACGUUGACAUGCAAAUUUUUUCAAGUAAUGAGUUUUUGAGGCGUUAGACAUACCACGAAAUUCAUAACAAAUCCAUUUCUCUUAUAUGGCUGUAUUCUAUAGCAUAAAAUCUAAAAGUGUUACUUAAAUAACUCUUUAAUUUUUGUUUUUUUUUUCUUCUUUUCAUACGACAACUCCUGAGAUCAAAAUAUCUUUCUUUUUUUUCUUAUUGUGUGUAUUCAUAAUAGCGGACAAAUCUUAUAAUCUUAGAUAUAAAAAUCAGAUUAUACAUAAAAAUAUAUAAAUAUAUAUUUAGAGUCAAGAACGAAUAUAACCAUAAAAAUUGUAAGUACAUAAGAUGAGUCUAAUCAUAUAUAUGAAAGGAGGUUAUCUCUCUCCAUCCUUCCGCCAUGUCAGCAUUUUAGGCUUUUCUGGAGAUGACACAUCAGCUUUCUAUUCUUCCAAUCAAAACAUUUCAUUAAUAUGGCUCAGCUUCCAAAUUUUACACAUCAGCUUCUAAUUAUAAGUGUCAAAUGGAGUAAACAGAAUAGCCCAUGACAGAUGGGCCAUAUGUGUUUACAAAUCUAUUAGAGUGCAAUAUUAAUGGGUAGAGCCCAUUUCAGUUAUGGGUUAAUGCUUUUAAACCCAACAAAUAUUCUAAUUCUCCACAAGACUUUAACAAAAAAACACAAAAACUUAUACAUUUCACAUAAUAUAUUAUUUUCAUACAUCACGAUAUAACUCUAAAAAAUUUAGUCACAGACAAUGUCCCCAUACCCCUUCGGAGCUUAGUUAUAAACACUACAAAAAACUAAAAUUAAAAACACAAAAUUUCAUAUUUAACUCUAUAAAUACUCAAACCGACAUUGCUUAUACCGGAUUAUAUGUGUUUGAGACAGCAUCAGUAAAUGUUUACCAAGGGGCAAGGAACAUAAAAAGGAUAUAGAACCAUCAUCAUGUACAACCUACACGGGAAUUAAAAAAUGAAAACAUCAGAUACAAAAGUUGACAAAAUCGAUAUACACAACAUUGAAUAGCUACUCACUUGAAUUAUCACUGAGGUGGUGGUAUUUGGAUUAACUGUCAAAACACAAAUACUCUGCAUCGUCCUUUUCAGUAUCAUCUCAUACUCCUUUUCAACUUUUCCAAUCAAUAUACAAAGUAAAAGUCUCUCAGAUCUAAAAACCAAGAAUCACCUGUACCACAUAUUCAAGCAACAAAACAAGCCUACUUCUCAACAACUAAACGCAUUUACGAUUACCAAUUUGUCCGGUUUUAGGCUUCCAUAUGACUUCAAAACAAGCCUUCUCAUCAUUUUCGUUCUUCUUCGUUCCUGCUUUUGGUCCAUAUACUGCAGCUAGAACUUUUGUAUCCCCUGAAAAUAUAAACGCUAGGGUUCAGUGAAUCCCAUUCAAAAAGGAUAACAAAACCUUUUACCCAUAAGAGAUAUUGACAAAGCUGAUAAAGUACCUUCUCACCAACUAGCAGAGCCAUGAGGAUGAUGAAGGAUAUUACAGAAACAAGCAAGAGAUCUCAGCUGAUUUGGUGUUCAAAUUCUCAUUUUUUUUUUUGAAUAAAAUGUUAAAUUAUAUUCAAAAGAUAAAAUAACGUUUUACAUCAGCUUUUGUUGAUUAAGUCUGAAAAAUGAAAACAAAGAUCAAGAGUAAGCUAUUAAUCUUAAUUAUGGUUGAGGAGGUUUCCUAUUGCCGGGAAGCAAACCAGACUUGUAAACCUUUCUCGUACCGGCGGUCUCCGGUUGAGCGAAUGACUGAGAGCUGAUUACGGACCUGCUUGUCUAUCCAACAGAUGAGAUUGGACAUUGUGCGUGAAACCUCUCCAUGGCGUCGAGCAUUUCUUUCUUUCCAUAUCGUGUACAACGUGAGCUGAAAGACGUAUUUAGUCAAGAAGCUCUUGAUGUGAUCAGUUUGAUUCUCUAAUAUGCAGUCCACUAUUGUUGUCCAAUCUGUUGAGAAACGAGUUUGGAAAACGUUCUUAGCGAUUGCAGUCCAAACUUCAGAGGCAUAGCUACACGAGAAAAAAAGAUGAUCCCGGGUCUCUAUAGGUACGAAGCAGAAUGUGCACUUCACUGCUGAGCCAUUGUUCCACUUCUGCAUUAUGUCACCAGUUGAGAGGCGAUUACGCAUAACAAGCCAAGCGCAAAACGAAUUUUUAGGUGUUGAAUGACUGAACCAUACUCCUGUAUACCAUGCCACCUGAUUUGAGUUUGUGCGGAUAUGAUUCCAGGUGUCUUUAGUGCUAAAGCUUGCCUUAAAGACAUCGCCUUUACCUCGCCAUAAGACUGUAUCUUCUUGUUCUAGAUUCUGGCUUUGAUAUUUCUGAAGUAAUACCGCCUCAAUGUCAUUCAACAUUUCUACACGAUGGUUUCUUCUUCUUCUUUGGCUCCAAGCCUCUGCAACUAUCAUUGUCCGCCUUAUACCCAAGUCUAUCAUCCCUCUCUGACCCGUUUUUUCCAUCAAAGUGCCCAUUCCCGACCAGUUAUCAAACCAGAACGACGUCCGAGCUCUAUUCUUUACUUCUACCUUACAGAAUGGCUUUGCUUUAUCUCUAUAUUUCAGCAAUUUCUUCCACAUCCAAGAACCCAAACUUGAGUUAAGCUUCAGAGACCAGAACGACUCUUGCUUGAGCAGAUUCAUUCUUGACCAUUUAACCCACAGAGAAUCACCAUUGGAGGCAAUCCUCCAUAUCAGUUUUAAAAGACUGACCUCAUUCGCUUCUUUCAAAGACCGCAGCCCAAGUCCUCCCUCCUGCUUUGGUUUACAAACUUCAUCCCACGAUACCUUUGCUUUUUUCGAAUUUAAGUCAGGCCCUGACCAUAGAAACGCAGAGCAGAUGUUGUUUAUUUCUUUGAGGCAUGCACUUGGUAGUCGAAAAGCACUCAUUCAGAAACUUGUCGUGCUCCAUAGAACAGAGCUAAUUAGAUUUAGUCGUCCCGCAAAGGAGAGAAAUCGGGCCCACGUACCUAUACGCUUACGAAUCUGGUCAAGUAACGGAGAGAGGUCACUUGUUGUGAGCCAUUUUGUGACUAGUGGGAGACCAAGAUACCUAACUGGGAGCUGGCCCAAUCCAAACGGGUAGCGACUGACCAUCAUUUGUCGGUUUUGGUCUGAAACACCUACAGUGUAGAGAGUCAUUUUUUUCAUGUUGAUUGUCAACCCUGAUCGUCUUGCAAACUGAUUCAUAAUCUCAACUAUACCAUCAACAGAGCGAACUUUGCCGUAUGUGAGAAUCAUAAGAUCAUCAGCGAAACAGAGGUGCGUUAAGCCAAGAUUUUUACAUCUCGGAUGAAAACCAAACUGUUGUGCACCAGCAGCCUUAUCAAGCAUCUUCGAGAGCACCUCCAUACUAAUGACAAACAAGUAUGGAGAAAGCGCGCAUCCCUGUCGAAGCCCUCUUGCGCUUCUAAAAACCCUGCUAACUCUCCAUUAACCUGGAUCGAGAAAGACGAUGUAGUUAUGCAUUUUGAAAUCCAGAGAAUGAAUUCACUUGGGAAGUUCAUAGCAGUUAAGACGUUGAUGAGAAAUGACCAUUGGAGAGAGUCAAAAGCUUUCGAAAUAUCUAUCUUCAUUGCACAACGAGUUGUGACGUUGCUCUUGUGGUAAUCUUUAACCAGUUUUGUUGCCAAAAGAACAUUUUCAAUGAGGAGUCUGUCUUUCACAAACGCCGAUUGGUUCCCCGAUAUAAAUUUAGGUAAUAUCCUCUUCAGCCUAUUUGCGAUUAUCUUCGAUAUUACUUUAUAUAGGACGUUGCAACAUGAAAUAGGCCUAUAGUCUCUCAUCUCUUUUGCUUCCCUCUUCUUUGGAAUGAGAGCUAAAAUGGUUGUAUUGAUCCCUAUUGGUAAAAAACCUUUGGCAAAGAAAGACUGAAUCGCUAUCGUGAACUCGCCUCCAAUAGUUUCCCAUGCUGCCUUAUAAAAUUCUGUUGUGUACCCAUCCGGUCCCGGUGAUUUAUCAUUUGGCAUAGAGAACAGAACUUUUUUUAUCUCUUCCCCUGUUACAACCCUUGUGAGCAGCCGGCUAUCAUCUUCUAAACAACGAAACGAAAGUAGUUUCUCUAGAUUUUCCACUGACAUCCCCUCAUAACCUGCUGGAAUGGUUUGUAAAAAAUCUUACAAAAAAGAUUCCGCCUCUGUUUUUAUUCCUUCUCUGCUAUUGAUAACUCUCCCAUCCUGUGUAAUGGCCUCUCUUAUUGAAUUCAAUGCCUCUCUUGUAGCUGCUGCUCUGUGAAACGUCUUAUUAUUUUUGUCUCCUACAUCCAGCCAAUGCAGCUUCGAUCUCUGUUUUAGGAAUUUUUCCUCUAGACUGGCCACUUUAUCCCAUUUAAAAUAUGCUUCUUUCUCCUCUUCCAUUGCUUGAGUAGAUGGACUAUGUAAAUUUAUCUCCUGCUUCUUACAUAAAUCCUCCAACGCCUCUUUAGUCCUCUUUGUUAAGUUGCCCAUCUUUUCUUUGAAUAAUCUUCUGAUCGCCGGUUUCAGCAAUUUAAGUUUCUUAGAAAAACGAUACAGAGAUUAUGUAGAUAAGUAGAUCAUAUAUGUUUCCUCCCAAUAGUUUUUAACCAGCGGUUUAAACUCAUCCAUCUCAGCUAGAGAUUCAUGUAGUAGCAUACAAAUUCUCAUAUUGUAUAACUAAGAAAUCGUAUCACUGAAAACAAAAACAAAACUGCUUCUAGCUCAACACAAAACUAGAGUAAAAACCUAAUUUCUAGAAGCUGGAAGAAGAUAUGAUUCCUUAUCAAAUUAGAAAACUAACCAAAGCGAAGAUAUAGCUACGGAGAAGAAGCACUCAAGCAGAGAAGAGAGAAGAAGAAACGCUCUGAUUUUCUGUAGAAUUAGGGUUUAUUUGGUUUAAGUUUCUAAACCCUCAAAUUUAAAAUCAAUUAAAGUGUUCCGAGAUCAAACUGGUCGGUCGGGUUUAUGUUUAACCAGUAAAUUCAAUUGAGGAAAGAUACUUAAUACGGUGUUUGAACAUAAUCAAUCUCCCUGAGAAUGAAUCUGAGUAUAACUGACGCAAAAAAAUCCGACGAUUCUUUGUAUCGACGAUGGAUGAUGAAUUGUUGGAAUUGCAGCGUUAGUUCGAGUUUGGUCAACAGGUGAAGUCAAGCGUGAGAUUAUCGAAUUGAAAUGUUGUCGAAUUGGUUCAGAAGCUUUAGGAGCUUGGCGUUAUAGACUUCGAUCUGCUUCAUACUGUCACCAGAAAAGAAUACAUCACUCAGGUACUGGUUCUAUUUCGUUUCCGGUGUGAAUUUAGACUCCAGAAGAUUUUGCAUUAAAUUUUGGUAUCAUGAUGUGAGUAAUGUGUUAAUGGAGUGAAAAUAUGAUAACUCUGCUUGUUGCAUGAGGAAUUUAAUCUGAAAACAAAAGUGAAAUUGUUUGAUCGAGUUUAUGCUGAACAUUGGGAAGGUUUGGGUGAAGAUUUUUUGUAACUGUUCCUCUUGAUUUGUUACAGGAGCAAUUGAGGAAUGAAAUUACUCGUGAGAUUAGUAAAUUGGUACGUCUCUCCUUUAUUGAUCUAGCAGAUACGAUUGGGGUUGAUUUGUAUCUUCUGGAGAAACAAGCAUAAGAUGAUCCAGGGUUAAUGUUGAUUCGAUUGCAGAAGAAAUUAAUGAGAGGCUUCAAGAAUGCCUCCAAAUUGUUGUGGCUGAACUUGCUGGUCAGUUACAGGUUGGCUCUGAGUUGGUGCAAUCGGUUUUGGAGCCUCGACUUGGAACUUUGGUAAUUGUGCUUCUCCUCUGAGCUUUCCAGAUUGUGUUUGAGUGAAUGUUGAACUUUUUUUUUGUGUGGAUUUCUUUUAAUGUUUCAAUCUUUUUAAGGUGAAAGCGAGGCUAGAAGGUGGACACUUAUAUACACCUGCUUAUGUAGAACAUGUGACUGCUAUGGUUCGAGGUGCUUGCAGGGGUAGUUUUGCUCCCUCCAACUUAUCGGCAUUGUGGGCACCAUUGCAACAAUUGGUACAAGAAAUGAAUGGAGCCAGUGGAAUUGCUGUUGAAGGAAGAGGAGAUGCUUGGAUCACUACGUGCUGGAACCCAUUGGACUCCUACCGUAUAUCAUAACAUUCUUAUCUUUUGGGUUUCUGCCACUAAUGGAUUUACAACUCUAUAAAUUGAGGGAUUUCCCAGAUGAAUAACUAUAAAUUUACACAAUUUGUAAUAUAAAUGAUUUGAAUUCUCUAUAUUGUUUAAAUUUUGAGGAUAUUUGGUUUUCUUUUUACAUAAAAUAAAUUGUUCUAAAAAAAAACAUUUCAAUAAGAGUUGUUAAACUCCAAAUAAUAUUACAAAUUGUAUAGUUAUUUUAUUAAAAUAAUAAUAAUAAAAAAUGUUAAACUUCAUCCUAAAAGCUGAAUGAGAAAUUUUUUAAAAAAUAUAUAUAUUAGUCUCAAACAUGCAAUGAUAUACAAAAAUAAAUAAAAAAUAAAAUUAUAAAUAAAUAAAGACAAAACCAUAAUUUUAAAAAAAACAUUCAGAAAUCUAAUAAUAUACAUAUAAAUUUACAUAAAUUUAAAGAAAUUAUUAAAACAAAAUUAAAAACAAAAUCUCGCGCGUAGCGCGGACACUCACCUAGCUAGUUUUAUUAACCAUACAAUAACAAACAAAAAAAUAAACAUAAAUUAGCGACAAAAACAAUUAACAUAUUUUUAUCUUAACAAUUUUCAAAAUAAACUCACGCGUAGCAUGGGAAUUCAUCUAGUACUAAUAAUAUUUGUUCACGUUUUUUGUUUUGCCAAAGAUAUGUGUUAUUAGACUGAAAUUCGAACGAAGGAGUAGCAGCCAGAGAAGCCCAAAUGAUGGUAAACUAAUGAACACUGUUAAAAUUUUUAAGUUCAAAAAAUAUUUGUGAUUCUCAACUUGUACGUAGUACAGGAAGAAUACUAGUAUUAUAUAUAUAAGCUAGCACUCAGUAACUAAUAAUGCAGUUAGCUUAGUGGUUUAACAACAAAGUGUGCCCAUUUCAACCCAAGUUUAAGUCUUUCCAAUGUUUUUUUAUAGAUUUUUUUUUACUAUAGAUCAAUAUAAUUGUAACUAAAUCAAAUGGUUUGGCUCAUUAUUAACUCUUCAACAAAAAACGUGGGCUUCCCUUUUUUGGGCUUAAGACUCUCCUUCUCAUUCAGAGGCUUUCAUUCUUGAGAAAGUUGGAGCUUUGUUAGGAAACAUGUUCCUGUUCAGAAAAUCAUCGAGCUUAGUGUGUGUUUUUAACCUAUUUCUGAAAAUCUUUUUAGAUCUGUGGUGUUUGUGCUGGAGAAAAUUAGGGUUCUUAAUUUUUUCUCCAGUUUUCGUUAUUGUGUCCGACAGUAGCUUUUCCUUGUUAAGUCUCUGUGUUUUGAGAUGUCGUCAAGCAUCGAUAAAGCUUUAUUAGCGAUGUCUUUGGAAGAUGAUGAUGUGCCGUUCAUCAUGCCCGAUCUACCGGAGUUCUGUUCUAGUGAAAACAAUGAGCUGAGUUUAGUUGGUAGAGUGUUAAACCCAGAUGGUCAGAAGAUGUCAAAUUUAACCAUGAAUCUACCAAGGAAGUGGCAGAUCUAUGAUAGAGUGAGAGGGGUUGCUUUGUCCCAAGAGCGAUUUAAAUUUAUCUUCAAAUAUGAACACGAUUUGGAGUUGAUUCUCAAGAAAGGUGUUCAAACGUUCAAUGAAUGGACAUUGGCGAUGGAGAGAUGGGUAGAGUUUCCGCCAGCCGAUUACCUUUAGUUCAUUCAUGUUUGGGUGCAAAUUCGCAACAUACCGAUUAAUCACUAUACGAUUAAUGCUAUCACGACUCUAGGUGAGAUUAUUGGUCAAGUAAAGGAAGUGGCUUUUGAUCCCCUGCAACCACAGAGUCAAGCUUUUGUUCGGGUUUUGGUUCGGUUUGAUGUUUUAAAACCUUUGAGGAGAUCCACGAUCAUUACUUUCAAGCAUAUAGGUGAUGUUUCCAUCUUCUAUGAUUUAGAGAGGAUUCAUAAACGAUGUUUCUUCUGUCAAAGGCUUACUCAUGACCAAUCUAAGUGUCCUUUCCUGCUGAAGGCUAAUCAAGAGAAGAAAGAGUGCCUGAGGAAUAAAGGAAAAGGUUUAGCUCAGUCUCCUGAAAAGAUUCUAAAGGAGUCGGAUCCUUUGUUUGGGGUUCUUAAUGAUAAUCAAGUUGGUGUUGAUCCAAACACAGGAAGACCUAGAAUAGCAAAGGAGGUUUUAGAUGGAAUGAGACAAUACCUGCUAGUAGCUAAUGGACCAGAGAGGAUCGUUAGAGAAGAGAGAAUCAAAUCGUCUCUUGAAGAUUUGAGGAAUAACCAUUUGGGAGAAAAAUCCAUGCUGCGGUUAGAACCACAUCCUAUUGUUUCCCGAGACAUUAACAAAGGUAAAGGAGUGGUUUUUGGUUAUGAUCAGUUGCAAUUAAGAGAUGAAGCUACUGUCAGUGGUGGGAAGGUCUGCAAGCAAGUCAAUGUAGCUGUGAAUCAAGGUAUCGCUAUGAGGCUGCAACCUACAUCAUCGUUUACUCAGUCUGAAGGUGAAAGAGGCUCCUUAAUUUCCUUUGGUGCACCUGUUCAAAGGAAUCCAACGGUAUUUAGGUUUGGUGUCUCUGAUGCUGAACCUUCAUCCGGGCCUCCUUUGAAAAGUGGGAAACCAAGGAAACGCCCUUUCAAAACUAGAAGAAGAAGAGCAACUCAAUCUGCUCAAGUUUCUUCAUGCUCACAUGCUGGCCAGUCUCGUGAUCCUAACGAUACUAAGAACAAAAGGAAAGUUGCGGAUGAGGCUCAAAAGUCAUCAAAAGUCGCUAAGCGCAAAGAGGUGGUCCCAAGUGAGGGACUGUCCAAUCUGUAAUGAGUAUUCUGAAUUGGAACUGCCAGGGAUUGGGACAGUCUCAUGAUCUGGUGAUUCCUAGACUCAAGGAUUUGCGUAAAAAGCACUUCCCUGAGAUUCCGUUUCUUAUGGAAACUAUGCAGUGUAGAGAUAAGUUGUUGGAUUUGCAAGUUCUGUUGGGGUAUGAUAGAUUGUUCACUGUUGAGCCAGUUGGUAAAUGUGGUGGUCUGGCUUUAUUGUGGAAGAGUAGUGUGCAGUUGGAUUUUCUGUUUGAUGAUAAGAAUCUGAUCGAUGUACAGGUGCAGUUUGGUUCUUUUAACUUUUUUCUUGUCUUGUGUGUAUGGGGAUCCUGAUUGUAGUUUGAGAAGUGCUGUUUGGGAAAGAUUGAACAGACUUGGUGUUGGCAGAAGGGAUAGAUGGUGUAUAGUUGGUGACUUUAAUGCGAUCAUGCAUAAUGUAGAAAAGGUGGGUGGUCCUAGGAGAUCUGAUAAUUGUUUCAGCCCUUUGUUGAGAUGUUGGAGUUGUGUCAGAUGGUUGAACUAAGCAGUUCUGGUAAUCACUUCACUUGGGCAGGGAGAAGAGGAGAUCAUUGGAUUCAGUGUAGGCUGGACAGGGCUUUUGGAAAUAAAGAUUGGCUUGAUUAUUUUCUAGCUUCCAAUCAAGCUUUCUUAGACCUGAGGGGCUCUGAUCACCGGCCAGUUUUACUCUGUUUGGUGGCUUCUCAGGAGUCUUACAAGGGUCAAUUCAGGUUUGACAGAAGAUUUCUUCAUAAGGCUGAUGUCAAGACUGCUAUGGUUAGAGCUUGGAAGCCGGGGAUUAGUUCUUCUGGUUUCUUAGUGUCUAAUAGAUUGAGAGCGUGUAGGAAGGCCUUGAGGUCUUGGAAAAAGAAGAAUAACAUGAACUCUUUGCAGAAAAUUCAUCAAUGUGAAGAGGCUUUGGAGUUAGUUCAGUCUGGCAGAUGGCCUAAUAGACAGCAGGUUUAUGAGCUGAAAAGAGAAUUAUCAAAGGCGUACAAGAAUGAAAAAAUUUAUUGGAGUCAAAGGAGCAGACAGAGGUGGUUAAGGUCAGGGAAUAGAAAUUCAAAAUAUUUCCAUGGUGCUGUUAAAGGGAAUAGAGUCAGAAAAAGAAUUGAAAAGUUAAAAGAUGAGAAUGGGAGUCUUCAGCAUUCUGAAUCUGCUAAAGGUGAAGUUGCUUCAGAUUGUUUUAAUAAUCUCUUUACAUCGUCUAAUCCUCAAAGCUUUCAAGACUGGUUUUCUGAUUUCCCUCCAAAAGUUACGGUGGACAUGAAUGAGGCCUUAGUUGCUCGUGUUUUGGCGAUAGAGAUUAGAGAUGCUGUUUUCUCAAUCAAAGCUUCUAGUGCCCCUGGUCCUGACGGUAUGACUGCAUUGUUUUUUCAACAAUUUUGGGAUAUUGUUGGAAAACAGAUGAUUAAGGAAAUUCAGGCCUUCUUUGAGAGUGGUAUCUUCCCAGCUGAAUGGAAUUAUACUUACUUGUGCUUGUUGCCAAAAAUUCAGCUGCCAUUGGAAAUGUCUGAUUUGAGACCAAUAAGCUUGUGCUCUGUUCUGUACAAGGCGAUUUCAAAAAUCUUAGUCAACAGGUUGCAGCCGUUUUUGCCUUUCAUAGUAUCAGUGAAUUAGUCAGCUUUUGUGUCUGAACGAUUGAUUACUGACAACAUCUUGGUGGCUCAUGAAGUGGUGCAUAGCCUUAAUUAAUACGCACCCUGAGAUGUCUGCACACUACAUGGCUGUCAAAACCGAUAUGUCAAAAGCAUAUGAUAAGGUUGAAUGGAGCUACAUUAGAUCUUUGCUUGUUGCGAUGGGGUUUCAUCUUAGAUGGAUUGAGUGGAUUAUGUGUUGUGUCUCAUCUGUCACUUUCUCGGUCUUAAUCAAUGAUCAACCUUUUGGUUUGAUAAAGCCUCAAAGGGGUAUUAGACAAGGAGAUCCCUUAUCUCCUUUUCUUUUUGUGUUGUGUAUAAUCACUACAGGAAAACAGGCCUUUUGCGACUACUUUUUGUGACUCUUUUGUUGGUCGCAAAUAUUUACGACGAUAUUGUUACCAUAUAGUGACUCUUUAACGAUUACGUUAAAAGUAGACGCAUAUUUGUCGCCAAUUUACGACGCCAACGAUUAGUCUCUGCUUAGUCGCCAAUUACCGACCAUUUUGCUACGAUUUUAAGACCGGUCCAAAAAAGGUCCUAGUUUGCGACUAAUUUGGGACGGAAAGAACGGGGUUACAAAACAUCGUCGCUAAAGGGUUACAAUAUAGGACUUAUUUGUUACUUUUUUGUGUCGUCACAAAUCCGUCGCAAAGAUCUAGUGACUAUUUAGCGACUAACACCUGAGACUGGGACUCUUUUCUAACCUAUUAGCGACUCCCGAUAUUUAGAUAAACAUUUACCAUGUAAGAUUUUGAAUUCUCGUAAUGUUAGAUGUGUUUAGUAUGAUCUUAACAAUUAUAGACAGUGAAUACAUCGUAUGCCAUACAAAACUUCAUGUUUUCUAAUGUGAUCUCAAAUAUCUAAAACAUUACAUAAUCAUAUAAGUAAUGUUUACUAAUACUUUUGAAAUGUCCUAAAUUCAUUGAAUUUCAUGUUUUCUCUAAUAUAAAUGAUUGAUCUUGUUGUGUAUUGUAAUAUUAUUGGUUCUAACACUAUAAAUUGAUUUUCUUUGGUUCUAAAACUUUUAAAUUCAUAAGAAUAGGUUUGUGACCCUUAAGAAAAUCGUCACAAAACGGUAACUAAUUUGCGACGGAAACUUAUGAGAGUUACAAAUAAGUCUUAAAUUACCCACAUAUAUGCUACUUAUUUGCGACUAACACCUGAAUUUGAGACGAUUUUGUAACCGUGUAGCGAUGCUCGCGAUUUUAUUUUGAGAUUUACCAAUAGAGAUUUCUCAAUAUGUUAAGUUUCAAGGUUUCUACAUUAAUUUGAACUAUUGUAGGUAUUGAAUCAUUCUAAUAGCUUAAGUUUUAUAUGAUUUAUAGAAACUUUCAUAACAUUACAUCAUAAACUUAAAACAAACUCAUUCGACACUUAGUUAUUGUCGACACUUAGUUAUUAUCGACACAACUCUUAAACAAACUUCUAAUCAUAAAAUUAUAUCAUAAACCAAAAUUUAAAUAUUAAUCAAAACUAAAAUCCAAUACUUAGAAAAAUUAAAACUUUUCAAAUUUUCAAAAAACUCAAAAUUCUCUAAAGCUAUUAAACCAAAAUAUAACUAUUUUGUAAAUAUGUUUAAAUUAAUCAAAAGUUAAGCAAAUUAAUGAAUUUACAAAUAUGUCUAAAAUAUGUCUAAAAUAUUUUGUCUACCAAAAACACUACAAAUUGCAAAAUUAAUAAAGCAAAAGAUAUUGAGUUCCUAUUGGUUACUUCAGAGAGACAUGGAUUGGUCUAUUAGCUUAUCUUGAACCGUUGAUUAGAUAAAAUCCAACGAACCCAAUUGUUUUCCUUUUUUCUUUUUCAUCUACCUAUAACCCAAUUUUUUUCUUCUACGAUUCUUCCCCUUCCCCUCUUUUGCCCUUUGUCACCUCUUCUCCUCAUCAAUCUCUAGACCAGUUAUUGAUGAUCCAACACCAUCUAUUCUGAUACCAACCAGUUAACCCACCACCCGACAACGGAGAGGAGAGGCUUAUCGGUAGAAGAAAUGGUGUGGUAGUCAUCAUCAAAUCGAGAAGAAGAAGGGAGAAGGGUCGUUGAAGACGGAGAUUUGACCACCACCACGAAGCAAACAGAACCAGAUCUCGAUCUGUUGCCCAACGAAACCCUCGAUCCCGCCUGAAACCGAACUCCCCUCCUAGCCACCACAAAAGACAGAAAAAGAAAUCCGGCGACAGAAGAAGAGUACUAAAGAGACAGUGGCGGAGCAAAAGGCUUGUGCUGCGAGUUGAGUGUAGCCGGAAACGGAGGCUCGUCGGCGAGCGAACGGAAUCUAUGGCGGCGGCUGAGAUGAAUUAGGGUUUUUUUUUUGUUGAUUUUAGCGUCCGGUUCAACCGGCAUUUUGUAACCAAUUCAAUUCUGUAGCUCUUAACCAAUUACCGGUUUGGGUUGGUUAUUAAUAUCAAUAUAUAUUAUUUUGUUUAAAAAAUUCUGUCACGAAAUAUAUAUAUAUAUAUAUACAUAAAU